rnacentral:rRNA from 1 species
CACGGGGGUUGCGAGCGUUGUCCGGAAUUACUAGGCGUAAAGGGCAGGCAGGCGGAUCCAUAAGUUUAUCGUUUAAGGCGUCGGCUUAACCGGCGUAGGGCGGUAGAUACUGUGGAUCUGGAAUGCGGUUGGGGAAGACAGAAUUCCUGGUGUAGCGGUGGAAUGCGCAGAGAUCAGGAGGAAUACCGAAGGCGAAGGCAGUCUUCCAAGCCGUUAUUGACGCUCAACUGCGAAGGUGUGGGUAUCAAACAGGAUUAGAUACCUGGGUAGUCCCUGA